rnacentral:tRNA from 1 species
GCCGACGUAGCUCAGUUGGUAGAGCAGCUCACUCGUAAUGAGCAGGUCAGCGGUUCGAGUCCGCUCGUCGGCUC